GAUGAACGCUGGCGGCGUGCCUAAUACAUGCAAGUCGAGCGAACAGACGAGAGUGCUUGCACUCUCUGACGUUAGCGGCGGACGGGUGAGUAACACGUGGGUAACCUACCUAUAAGACUGGGAUAACUUCGGGAAACCGGAGCUAAUACCGGAUAAUAUUUAGCUUCGCAUGAAGCAAUAGUGAAAGACGGUUCUGCUGUCACUUAUAGAUGGACCCGCGGUGUAUUAGCUAGUUGGUGAGGUAACGGCUCACCAAAGCAACGAUACAUAGCCGACCUGAGAGGGUGAUCGGCCACACUGGGACUGAGACACGGCCCAGACUCCUACGGGAGGCAGCAGUAGGGAAUCUUCCGCAAUGGACGAAAGUCUGACGGAGCAAUGCCGCGUGAGUGAAGAAGGUUUUCGGAUCGUAAAACUCUGUUGUAAGGGAAGAACAAGUACGUUAGUAACUGAACGUACCUUGACGGUACCUUACCAGAAAGCCACGGCUAACUACGUG
rnacentral:rRNA from 1 species